UCUUCAAGCCAUCGUCGGUAGCAAAUGAAAUUUACAACUUCUUAUCGUUUGAUUUGUUAAAUCGGAUGUCGGAUAUGAUUAAAAAAGCUUCAUAGCUGCACUGGGUAUGCCGAUGAAACCGACAUCAUAGCCUUUAACCAUCGCGUCGUUUACUUAGGCAACUAUGUAGAUGAAGACGCCUUUGGAGUUUUCGAGAUAUAGAUUCUACAAAAGAUUUUUAGGCCUUCAGACAUUUUAUUCAACUAAAUUAAAAUACAGCGGAUCCGCGGGCUAGCCCAUGUCGUAUGAAUGGAUGCAAACGCCCUGCAUUGGAAAGGUCCAGGUGUAGAAAGACUUGCAGCCUCAUCAUGUAUCUCGAACGAUAGGGGACACGAACGAUUCGUCUACAGGCGAAUUCGUCUCCGCUUAUAAUUUUGUAAGUCGAGCGAUUGAUUCGUGUAGACUUUACGUCGAUUACGUUGUAUUCGUCUAGAACAGCGUUGCUAAAUGAAAUAUUAAGGUAUUUUUGUAUAUUUCCUUUAGAGUUUUAUUAUUUU